GAGACAGGAGACGCAUUUUAUCCGGACCCAAAACUCCGGCGCCAGUCACGGACUCAGGAAGACAGUCUUCCCUUGGUGUUUAAUCACAUGGGGAUGCCUGCCUGAUUAUUCAUCCACGUUUCAGAGGUGUCUGACCACGCGAGGAAGCCUGCCUUGGUCCUUCACCCUUAGUGGCAAGUACCACUUUUCUGGGGGGCAAGAACCCCCCGACCCCUUCUCUCCAUGUCUCUAUCCCUUCUCUGCUUUUCUAGGGGGCAAGAACCCCCUGACUCCUUCUCUCCAUGUCUCUACCCCUUCUCUGCUUUUCUGGAAGGCAAGAACCCCCCAGCCCCUUCUCCUUCACCCUUAGCAGCAAGUACUGCUUUUCUAGGGGGCAACAACCCCCCCAACCCCUUCUCUCCGUGUCUCUACUGCUUCUCCACUUUUGUGGGGGGCAAGAACCCCCCAACCCCUCCUCUCCGUGUCUCUACCCCUUUUCCACUUUCCUGGGGGCAAGCACCCCCCACCCCUUCUCUCCGUGUCUCUACUCUCUCUUUUCUCUGGGCUUGCCUCCUUCACUAUGGGCAGCCUUCCACCCUCCAUUCCUCCUUCUUCUCCCUUAGCCUGUGUUCUCAAGAACUUAAAACCUCUUCAACUCACACCUGACCUAAACCUAAAUGCCUUAUUUUUCUUCUACAAUGCCGCUUGACCCCAAUAUAAACUCGAUAGUUGUUCCAAAUAGCCAGAAAACAGCACUUUCAAUUUUUCCAUCCUACAAGAUCUAGAUAAUUCUUAUUGUAAAAUAGGCAAAUAGUCUGAGGUGCCUGACGUCCAGGCAUUCUUUUACACAUUGUUCCCUCCCUAGUCUCUGUUCCCAAUGUGACUCAUCCCAAAUCCUCCUUCUUUCCCUCCCGCCUGUCUUCCCAGUCCCAACCCCAAGCGUCGCUGAGUCUUUCUAAUCUUCCUUUUCUACAGACCCAUCUGACUUCUCCCCUUCUCCCCAGGCUGCUCCUAGCCAGGCUGAGCCAAGUCCCAAUUCUUCCUCAGCCUCUGAUCCCCCACACUAUAAUCCUUUUAUCACCUCCCUUCCUCACACCGGGUCCAGCUUACAGUUUCCUUCCACAACUAGCCCUCCCCCACCUGCCCAGCAAUUUCCUCUUAAAAAGGUGGCUGGAGCUAGAGGCAUAGUCAAGGUUAAUGCUCCUUUUUCUUUAUCAGACCUCUCCCAAAAUCAGUUAGCAUUUAGGCUCUUUUUCAUCAAAUAUGAAAAACCCAGCCCAGUUCAUGGCUUGUUCGGCAGCAACCCUGAGACGCUUUACAGCCCUAGACCCUAAAAGGUCAAAAGGCCAUCUUAUUCUCAAUAUACAUUGUAUUACCCAAUCUGCUCCUGACAUUAAAUAAAACUCCAAAAAUUAAGUUCCAGCCCUCAAACCCCACAACAGGACUUAAUUAACCUCACCUUCAAGGUGUACAAUAAUAGAGUAGAGGUAGCCAAGUAGCAAUGUAUUUCUGAGUUGCAAUUCCUUGCCUCCACUGUGAGACAAACCCCAGCCAUAUCUCCAGCCCACAACUCCAAAUGCCUGAACUGCAGCUGCCGGGGGUUCCUCCAGAACCUCCUCCCCCAGGAGCUUGCUACACAUGCCAGAAAUCUGGCCACUGGGCCAAGGAAUGCCCACAGCCCGGGAUUCCUCGUAAGCCAUGACCCAUCUGUGUGGGACCCCACUGAAAAUUGGACUGUUCAACUCACCUGGCAGCCAUUUCCAGAGACCCUGGAACUCUGGCCCAAGGCUCUCUGACUCCUUCCCCAAUCUUCUCAGCUUAGUGGCUGAAGACUGACACUGCCCGAUCGCCUCAGAAGCCCCCUAAACCAUCACGGAUGCUGAGCUUCAGGUAACUCUCACAAUGGAAGGUAAGUCCGUCCCAUUCUUAAUCAAUACGGACGCUACCCACUCCACAUUACCUUCUUUUCAAGGGCCUGUUUCCCUUGCCUCCAUAACUGUUGUAGGUAUUGAUGGCCAGGCUUCUAAACCUCUUAAAACUCCCCAACUCUGGUGCUAACUUAGACAAUACUCUUUUAAGCACUCCUUUUUAGUUAACCCCACCUGUUCAGUUCCCUUAUUAGGCUGAGACACUUUAACUAAAUUAUCUGCUUCCCUGACUAUUCCUGGGCUACAGCCACACCUCAUUGCCAUCUUUUCCCCCAGUUCAAAGCCUCCUUCACAUCCUCCCCUUGUAUCUCCCCACCUUAACCCACAAGUAUAAGACACCUCUACUCCCUCCUUAGUGACCGAUCAUGCACCCCUUACCAUCCCAUUAAAACCUAAUCACCCUUACCCUGCUCAAUGCCAAUAUCCCAUCCCACAGCAUGCUUUAAAAGGAUUAAAGUCUGUUAUCACUCACCUGCUACAGCAUGGCCUUUUAAAGCCUAUAACCUCCCCUUACAAUUCCCCCAUUUUACCUGUCCUAAAACCAGACAAGGCUUACAGGUUAGUUCAGGAUCUGCGCCUUAUCAACCAAAUUGUUUUGCCUAUCCACACUGUGGUGCCAAACCUAUAUACUCUCCUAUCCUCAAUACCCAUUAUUAAUACCCUCAAUACCCUCCACAACCCAUUAUUCUGUUCCAGAUCUCAAACUUGCUUUCUUUACUAUUCCUUUGCACCCUUCAUCCCAGCCUCUCUUCCCUUUCACUUGGACUGACCCUGACACCCAUCAGGCUCAGCAAAUUACCUGGGCUGUACUGCUGCAAGGCUUCACAGACAGCCCCCAUUACUUCAGUCAAGCCCAAAUUUCUUCCUUAUCUGUUACCUAUGAUGGCAUAAUUCUCAUAAAAACACACGUGCUCUCCCUGCUGGUCAUGUCUGACUGAUCUCUCAAACCCCAGCACCUUCUACAAAACAACUCCUUUCCUUCCCAGGCAUGGUUAGAUACUUUCAACUUUAGAUACCUGGUUUUCCCAUUAUAACAAAACCAUUAUAUAAACUCACAAAAGGAAACCUAGCUGACUCCAUAGAUCCUAAAUCCUUUCCCCACUCCUCUUUCCAUUCCUUGAAGACAACUUUAGAGACUGCCCCCACUCUAGCUCUCCCUGACUCAUCCCAACCCUUUUCAUUACCCACAGCUGAAGUGCAGGGCUGUGCAGUCAGAAUUCUUACACAAGGACCAGGAUCGCAUCCUGUAGCCUUUUUAUCCAAACAACUUGACCUUACUGUUUUGUCUAGCCCUCAAGUCUGCGUGCAGCAGCUACCACCACCCUAAUACUUUUAGAGGCCCUUAAAAUCACAAACUAUGCUCAACUCACUCUCUACAGUUCUCUUAACUUCCAAAACCUAUUUUCUUCCUCACACCUGACACGUAUACUUUCUGCUCCCUGGCUCCUUCAGCUGUACUCACUCUUUGUUGAGUCUCCCACAAUUACCAUUGUUCCUGGCCUGGACUUCAAUCCGGCCUCCCACAUUAUUCCUGAUACCACACCUGACCGCCAUGACUGUAUCUCUCUGAUCCACCUGACAUUCACCCCAUUUCCCCAUAUUUCCUUCUUUCCUGUUCCUCACCCUGAUCACAGUUGGUUUAUUGAUGGCAGUUCCACCAGGCCUAAUUGCCACACACCAGCAAAGGCAGGCUAUGCUAUAGCACAAGCCACUAGCCAACCUCUAAGAACCUCUCAUUUCUUUUCCAUCGUGGAAAUCUAUCCUCAAAGAAAUAACUUCUCAGUGUUCCAUCUGCUAUUCUACUACUCCUCAGGGAUUGCUCAGGCCUCCCUUCCUUUCCCUACACAUCAAGCUCAGGGAUUUGCCCCUGCCCAGGACUGGCAAAUUAGCUUUACUCAACAUGCCCCAAGUCAGGAAACUAAAAUACCUCUUGGUCAGGGUAGACACUUUCACUGGAUAGGUAGAGGCCUUUCCCACAGGGUCUAAGAAGGCCACCACAGUCAUUUCUUCCCUUCUGUCAGACAUAAUUCCUCAGUUUGGCCUUCCCACCUCUAUACAGUCCUAUAACAGACCAGCCUUUAUUAGUCAAAUCACCCAAGCAGUUUUUCAGGCUCUUAGUAUUCAGUGAAACCUUUAUGUCCUUUACAGUCCUCAAUCUUCAGGAAAGGUAGAACGGACUAAUGGUCUUUUAAAAACACACCUCACCAAGCUCAGCCACCAACUUAAAAAGGACUGGACUGGCCGGGCACCGUGGCUCAUGCCUGUAAUCCCAGUACUUUGGGAGGCUGAGGCAGGCAGAUCACGAGGUCAGGAGAUCGAGACCAUUCUGGCUAACACGGUGAAAACCUGUCUCUACUAAAAAUACAAAAAAUUAGCCAGGUGUGGUGGCAGGUGCCUGUAGUCCCAGCUACUCCGGAGGCUGAGGCAGGAGAAUGGCAUGAACCCAGGAGGCGGAGCUUGCAGUGAGCCAAGAUCGUGCCACUGCACUCCAGACAGAGUGCAGUGCAAGACUCCAUCUCAACAAAAAAAAAAAAGGACUGGACAAUACUUUUACCACUUUCCCUUCGCAGAAUUCAGGCCUGUCCUCAGAAUGCUAUAGGUUACAGCCCAUUUGAGCUCCUGUAUAGACACUCCUUUUUAUUAGGUCCCAGUCUCAUUCCAGACACCAGCCCAACUUGAACUGCACCCCAAAAACUUGGAUAGAGCCUAAAAAUUCACCAACCAAGCAAGUAAUUACGCUGAACCCCCUUGGGCACUCUCUAAUUAGAUGUCCUGGGUCCUCCCAAUUCUUAGUCUAAUAUCUGUUUUUCUCCUUCUCUUAUUCCAUUUAGUUUUUCAAUUCACACAAAACAGUAUCCAGGCCAUCACCAAUAAUUCUAUACAACAAAUGUUUCUUCUAACAACCCCAUAAUAUCGCCCCUUACCAUAAAAUCUUCCUUCAGCUUAAUCUCUCCCACUCUAGGUUCCCACGCCGCCCCUAAUCCCGCUCGAAGCAGCCCUGAGAAACAUCGCCCAUUAUCAAUCCAUGCCACCCCCCAAAAAAAUUUUCUCCCCACCCCAACACUUCAACACUAUUAUGUUUUAUUUUUCUUAUUAAUACAAGAAGAGAGGAAUGUCAGGCCUCUGAGCCCAAGCUAAGCCAUCACAUCCCCUGUGACCUGCACAUCUACAUCCAGAUGGCCUGAAGUAACUGAAGAAUCACAAAAGAAGUGAUAUUUAAAUGGCCUGUUCCUGCCUUAACUGAUGACAUUCCACCACAAAAGAAGUGAAAAUGGCUGGUCCUUGCCUUAACUGAUGACAUUACCUUGUGAAAUUCCUUCUCCUGGCUCAUCCUGGCCUAAAAAGCUCCCUGACUGAGCACCUUGUGACCCCCCACUCCUGCCUGCCAGAGAACAACCCCCUUUUUUCCUUUACCUACCCAAAUCUUAUAAAAUGGCCCCACCCCUAUCUCCCUUCGCUGACUCUCUUUUUGGACUCAGCCCGCCUGCACCCAGGUGAUUAAAAGCUUUAUUGCUCACACAAAGCCUGUUUGGUGGUCUCUUCACACAGAGUGAAAAAAGGCCUAUGUGAAAAAUGAUUAUUCUUGCUAUACUUUAUGCAAAUAACCAGGCCAACCAUGAGACUAAAGUUUAUUUUGCAAACAACUCAGUCCUAUCAUGAUUUGUUUUUGACAAAAAUGAGGACUGGAGAGAGAAAACUUAUGUUUCAAAACUUACACACUUGUCAUUAAAUUCUAAUCUCAUCGUUUUUUUUUUUUAAGUUUCUGCCUACAUUUUAGACUAACUCUGCUUAUUCCUGUGAACCAACCAGUGGUCUCUGGCUGCAGCUCAGAAAAAACAAAAGGGAUGGGUAAUGUAAAAAUCUGGAUGAGUAUUCUAGUUCUGGGCAAUUAUCCUGCAAAUCCUGCCAGGUGGUAUGAGUAAAUAGGAUGCCUAUAACCAGGAGGUUUCUCUGUUAGGAAAAUAAGAUCAAGGGAGCUAACCAAAGCCGAGCCCCAUGUACCGAAAUCUUAGCAGGCAUAACUAUAGUCACCAGUUAUCAGGUUGUGUUGACAGCCUAGGGAUUUUUGAGCUGCCCUUACCCACCUUUGUUUCGUUUUGAUACAUGUCUUCUAAUAAGCUAAAUUGUUUCUUCUUACUUAGAGGCCAUUAAACUUCAAAUGGUGAUGCAAAUGGAACCACACAUGGAUGUGCCAUUCUUCUGGGGACCCUUAAACAGACUCAGGAGGAGCCUGAGAUUAACAAUUUGUUUAAAACCCUGUCAGCAGGAAGCAGUUAAGAGCAGUCAUCGCCCACUUUCCCCAACAGCGGCCUGAGUCUCCACUUCUGAUGGGGGGAAUGAAAGGAGUUAGCCAGCCUGCUUUAGGCAGACAGUAAGGGAAGAGUCCCCAGAGAACCUCCAACCCAUAUUUUGAGCAGAUAAAGGAACUUGUACAGGGGGCUUGCCUAAACAUGCCCACAUGCGCACUGGGGGAAUGGGAUGGAGCCAACAGGAAUUUGUGUCUUAUACAAAUAAGGAAUCCAGUUCCAUCAGCUUGUAUGUAAAAGCUCUUAUAUUCAACUGUGAAG
rnacentral:lncRNA from 1 species